rnacentral:rRNA from 1 species
GACGAACGCUGGCGGCGUGCUUAACACAUGCAAGUCGAAUGGAAAGGCCCCUUUGGGGGUACUCGAGUGGCGAACGGGUGAGUAACACGUGAGUAACCUGCCCUUGACUUCGGGAUAACUUCAGGAAACUGGGGCUAAUACCGGAUAGGAAUCCUUGCUGCAUGGUGGGGGUUGGAAAGCUUCGGCGGUUUUGGAUGGACUCGCGGCUUAUCAGCUUGUUGGUGGGGUAGUGGCUUACCAAGGCUUUGACGGGUAGCCGGCCUGAGAGGGCGACCGGCCACAUUGGGACUGAGAUACGGCCCAGACUCCUACGGGAGGCAGCAGUGGGGAAUAUUGCACAAUGGGCGGAAGCCUGAUGCAGCAACGCCGCGUGCGGGAUGACGGCCUUCGGGUUGUAAACCGCUUUCAGCAGGGGCGAAGCUUUUGUGACGGUACCUGCAGAAGAAGCACCGGCUAACUACGUG